rnacentral:rRNA from 1 species
AUUGAACGCUGGCGGCAGGCCUAACACAUGCAAGUCGAACGAGUGGCGGACGGGUGAGUAAUGUCUGGGAAACUGCCUGAUGGAGGGGGAUAACUACUGGAAACGGUAGCUAAUACCGCAUACCAUCGGAUGUGCCCAGAUGGGAUUAGCUCGUAGGUGGGGUAAAGGCUCACGUAGGCGACGAUCCCUAGCUGGUCUGAGAGGAUGACCAGCCACAUGGGAAUCGAGACACGGUCCGGACGCCUACGGGAGGCAGAAGUGGGGAAUAUUGCACAAUGGGCGCAAGCCUGAUGCAGCCAUGCCGCGUGUAUGAAGAAGGCCUUCGGGUUGUAAAGUACAUUCAGAGGGGAGGCGUUACGCGCAGAAGAAGCACCGGCUAACUCCGUGCCAGCAGCCGCGGUAAUAC